GCAAGUCGAACGAGAAUCCGGGGCAACUCGGUAGUAAAGUGGCAAACGGGUGAGGAAUGCAUGGGUAACCUGCCCAUGAGAAGGGAAUAACCUGCCGAAAGGUGGGCUAAUACCCUAUACGGAUCUCUCUUUAUGGAGAGGGAAGGAAAGCUACGCCGUGGGCUUGGCACUCAAGGAGGGGCUCAUGUCCUAUCAGCUUGUUGGUGAGGUAAUGGCUUACCAAGGCUACGACGGGUAGCUGGUCUGAGAGGAUGAUC
rnacentral:rRNA from 1 species